GUGGGGAAUAUUGGACAAUGGGGGCAACCCUGAUCCAGCCAUGCCGCGUGAGUGAAGAAGGCCCUAGGGUUGUAAAACUCUUUCACCGGGGACGAUGAUGACGGUACCCGGAGAAGAAGCCCCGGCUAACUCCGUGCCAGCAGCCGCGGUAAUACGGAGGGGGCUAGCGUUGUUCGGAAUUACUGGGCGUAAAGCGCGCGUAGGCGGUUUAUCAAGUCAGGCGUGAAAGCCCCGGGCUCAACCCGGGAACUGCGCUUGAUACUGGUUGACUAGAGGCCGGGAGAGGGUAGUGGAAUUCCCAGUGUAGAGGUGAAAUUCGUAGAUAUUGGGAAGAACACCGGUGGCGAAGGCGGCUACCUGGACCGGACCUGACGCUGAGGUGCGAAAGCGUGGGGAGCAAACAGGAUUAGAUACCCGUGUAGUCC
rnacentral:rRNA from 1 species